CGUGUAGGCGGGGUCGCAGGUCAGAUGUGAAAUCCCAAGGCUUAACCUUGGAACUGCAUUUGAAACCGCGGCUCUUGAGUGUCGGAGAGGAAAGCGGAAUUCCUAGUGUAGCGGUGAAAUGCGUAGAUAUUAGGAGGAACACCAGUGGCGAAGGCGGCUUUCUGGACGAUAACUGACGCUGAGGCGCGAAAGCGUGGGGAGCAAACAGGAUUAGAUACCCUGGUAGUCCACGCUGUAAACGAUGAAUACUAGGUGUAGGGGGUAUCGACCCCCCCUGUGCCGCAGUUAACACAAUAAGUAUUCCACCUGGGGAGUACGACCGCAAGGUUGAA
rnacentral:rRNA from 1 species